UCCCAGUCACUGUCAGUUUCUCCACCUACCGCACAGGCGUGAUCCGAAUCCAACAUUCCAGCACUGACAAAGGUGAACGACGAACGACGUCCUCUGUUCUGCUCAGACGAAUCUUGACCUGGCCGAUAGCCAACCCCAAACAUAUCCGACUUUACCACAAUGCCUAUGAUUUUUCCCCAGCCUGGGAUCCCUCCAUUUCUCAACAUUUCCAGUGCCUGUUUGUAAGAAGACACGGACGGUUUUUUCUCUUUUCCAACACCGAUGACAUUUUUCACCUUGAUGGCUCCAACUACCAGAUUGGGUGUUUCAAAUUUUCCACCGUCCAUUUCCACCCCCUUCAUCUUCUGGGUCAUAUCC
rnacentral:lncRNA from 1 species